AUAGUACUAUGAUCGUUUAAAUGCUUUAACUUAUUCUAUUCAAAAUUCAAACCCAUUGCCCAUGAUUCAAACUAACAAAAUACUGAGCGCGAAGUUGUGUUGAGAGUUGAGAACUAUGGUUAAGAAAAAAGAACAUCAAGAGUGAACUUUACAUGUGUAAACCAGAUGUCUAACAAUUUCCAUUUAGGAUGGAAAAAUGAAAAGUCUUGUCAGGGCAAAGCUAAAUCUUCUGAAGCUGAUAACAACACAAUUAUAAAAUUGUGGGAUAAGCUACCAAUUGGGCUAAGUUAAAUUGGUUCGCAGUCGAAAAAGGUUUUUAUAGACUGAAAGUGUCAUA